UUCUCUUGAGAGCGGCGGACGGGUGAGUAAUGCCUAGGAAUCUGCCUGGUAGUGGGGGAUAACGUUCGGAAACGGACGCUAAUACCGCAUACGUCCUACGGGAGAAAGCAGGGGACCUUCGGGCCUUGCGCUAUCAGAUGAGCCUAGGUCGGAUUAGCUAGUUGGUGAGGUAAUGGCUCACCAAGGCGACGAUCCGUAACUGGUCUGAGAGGAUGAUCAGUCACACUGGAACUGAGACACGGUCCAGACUCCUACGGGAGGCAGCAGUGGGGAAUAUUGGACAAUGGGCGAAAGCCUGAUCCAGCCAUGCCGCGUGUGUGAAGAAGGUCUUCGGAUUGUAAAGCACUUUAAGUUGGGAGGAAGGGCAGUUACCUAAUACGUGAUUGUUUUGACGUUACCGACAGAAUAAGCACCGGCUAACUCUGUGCCAGCAGCCGCGGUAAUACAGAGGGUGCAAGCGUUAAUCGGAAUUACUGGGCGUAAAGCGCGCGUAGGUGGUUAGUUAAGUUGGAUGUGAAAUCCCCGGGCUCAACCUGGGAACUGCAUUCAAAACUGACUGACUAGAGUAUGGUAGAGGGUGGUGGAAUUUCCUGUGUAGCGGUGAAAUGCGUAGAUAUAGGAAGGAACACCAGUGGCGAAGGCGACCACCU
rnacentral:rRNA from 1 species